rnacentral:lncRNA from 1 species
CCCAACUAAUAUAGGACUUCCAAUCAAAGGCAACACCACACAGCUGCCUUCAAUUGGAAGUCCACCCCAAUUACCUCUACAUAGAAACACCCAACCUAGACAGGACAAAGAAAACCCAACUUCUUCUGCCACGCUCUGACCAACACUUGUACACCUACUCCACCUGCUGGUCAGGACGUGACACUAUAGACAUGUUGAUUUUUCUAAAAAUCCAGGAGUGCAACCAGGGAGACAGCGAGACAUUUAGUCAAUAUUUGGAAACAACCCAUAUUUGAUACUGACUGUUAUGAGAAAAAGCUACAGACAGAUAGAAGGAAGGGCAGACGGAGAAGUCCUCCCCCGCACUGCUGAAUCCUUGAGGGUUGGGGAGUAGCAGGAAUAAAGGAGGGAGGCCAGCAGGAGAAGAUAGUAAGAGAAUUUAGUUCGGUUCGCUUAGCUUUAGGAUAUUAAUUCAUGGAGAGAAUAUCGGCUCCAUUGGCAUAUAUUUUAGUUUUGAUUUUAAGUUUAUGUUUGGUAAAAUCGCUAGGAAGAGAUAUGACUAUUUACACAGACAAGCACAUAGGCAUUUAAAACCAUACAAAGCAGCACAGAUAAAUCUUAAAGAAGAUAAGUCACUUGACAGAGAAUUGUUACAGGAUAGCCAAGAACGAAUGCCCCAGGAAGAAUUGUACAUGUGGAAAAUGAAAGGGGCAAUCCUACAAGAUAAGGUCUGACAUAGGAUAAUUGACUAAUCUUACCAAAGACAUUGUUUAAAUAUGCAGCAAUAUUGAUACAUGGGCUGAGCCAUGUAUCAAUAGGGGGAAGGAAGGUAGUGCAGGUGAUAGAACAGGUUAGGAAACACUGCAGGUUAGGAAAGAGUGGUGGCCUAGUGGAGAACUACUUAAUGGCAUAGAGGAUAAUUACUUUAAAAAAAUUGGGGGUAGAAUAUCCACUCCAACAUUUGGAAAUGGACCUUAUUGAACUACUCCGAAGAGAGGGGAAGAAGGGGUGUUUAACAAUAAUAGAUAAGUAUAGCAAAUGGGUAGAAGUGUUCCCAACUUACUUGGUGGACAUGAUUAUGGUAACUAAAAUAUGAGGUCAAGAUAUUAUCCCUAGAGUUGGUUUACUAGGAUCUAUCUCUUUAAAUGAUGGAUGACAUUUUAGCUAAUCGGGUUGAACAAAUAGAAUGCCAGAGUUAGAGAUACCAGAACAGGUAAACAUAGAAGUUGAAGAAAUACUAGCAGAGCACAUGAGAAGACUGUUUGUUAACCUGUUAGGGACAGAUGUUCCGCUAGCGGAACGCCUCACCAAUAUCCAAUGGUAUAGAGUGGCGCGAAUUACAAAUACCUCAAAAAUGCAAAAACUUAAAUUUUUCAAACAUAUGACUAUUUUACACCAUUUUAAAGACAAGACUCUCCUUUAUCUAACCACAUUGUCCGAUUUCAAAAAGGCUUUACAACGAAAGCAAAACAUUAGAUUAUGUCAGGAGAGUACCCAGCCAGAAAUAAUCACACACCCAUUUUUCAAGCUAGCAUAUAUGUCACAAAAACCAAAACCACAGCUAAAUGCAGCACUAACCUUUGAUGAUCUUCAUCAGAUGACACUCCUAGGACAUUAUGUUAUACAAUACAUGCAUGUUCUGUUCAAUCAAGUUCAUAUUUAUAUUAAAAACCAGCUUUUUACAUUAGCAUGUUUUGUUCAGAACUAGCAUACCCACCAAAAACUUCCGGUGAAUUUACUAAAUUACUCACGAUAAACGUUGACAAAAAACAUAACAAUUAUUUUAAGAAUUAUAGAUACAGAACUCCUUUAUGCAAUCGCGGUGUCCGAUUUUAAAAUAGCUUUUCGGUGAAAGCACAUUUUGCAAUAUUCUGAGUAGAUAGCCUGGCCAUCAUGGCUAGCUAUUUUGACACCCACCAAGUUUGGCACUCACCAAACUCAGAUUUACUAUAAGAAAAAUUGGAUUACCUUUGCUGUUCUUCGUCAGAAUGCACUCCCAGGACUUCUACUUCAACACCCAAUGUUGUUUUGGUUCCAAAUAAUCCAUAGUUAUAUCCAAAUAGCUCCGUUUUGUUUGUGCGUUCAAGACACUAUCCGAAGGGUGACGCGCCCGCGCGUUUCGUGACAAAAAAAUUCAAAAUAUUCCAUUACCGUACUUCGAAGCAUGUCAAACGCUGUUUAAAAUCAAUUUUUAUGUGAUUUUUCUCGUAAAAUAGUGAUAAUAUUCCAACCGGGAGAUGUUGUAUGCGUUCAAACACUGAAAUAAGAAAAUGGAGUCGUCACAUGCACGUGCGCACCAGUGUCAUUGUUCUCAGAAGACCACUCACCAGAACCCCUACUGUUUUUCGCCCAGAGACUGCAGAGUUAUCAUUCAAUGUUCUGGCGCCUUCUGAGAGCCAAUGAAAGCCUUAGAAAAUGUCACGUUACAGCAGAGAUCCUGUAUUUUUGAUAAAGAGGCUACAGAAGGCCAAGAAAUGGUCAGACAGGGCACUUCCCAUAUAGAAUCUUCUCAGGUUUUGGCCUGCCAUAUGAGUUCUGUUGUACUCACAGACACCAUUCAAACAGUUUUAGAAACUUUAGAGUGUUUUCUAUCCAAAUUUACUAAUUAUAUGCAUAUUCUAGUUUCUGGGCAGGAGUAAUAACCAGAUUAAAUCGGGUACGUUUUUUAUCCGGCCGUGAAAAUACUGCCCCCUAUCCCAAACAGGUUAACCAAACCCGUAUGUCCAAGAUUUUGUGUCCAACAGGUGAAUUACAGGAGAAGGUGAUUCACUCAAUCCAACCAGGAGACUGGGUGUGGAUCCAUUCCCUGAGGAGAAAAGACUGGAUGCAGCCCCGUUGGGCAGGCCCAUACCAGGUUCUGCCUUUGCCAUUAGAAAAACUGAGAGAGUCACUUGGGUCCACAUUAUCCACUGCAAGAAGGUAUGUACACAUAUGAGCACUGUUGAUCACACACAGAGUUAGGAGAAGAACCGGGUACCAACCGGGUCCGGGGGUUACCUCCUCAACGAAGAUUACCUAUCCCGACCGUUCAUCACUGUGUGUGCUCCGAGAGGUGUGAGUAUGGGGUGGUACCUGGCAGAUCGACUAAGGGCAGGAGAGAGUUGGCGGUUUUUGGGAAGAGUAGAGACUCUGAGCUGCAUCAUAGUCUUGGUAAUCUUUCUGAUACAUUCAGAUCCACCACCUUCCGGUACUAAUCAUACGACACUGUUGUCAUUUAUAAGAAUGAAAAGAUAAACUAUAUAAUACACUGAUGAGUGAUGUACAGAAUGAGGAAUCAAGGAAGAUCAGGAUGUAGGUUUAAGGCAAACAUUUAACAAUUUCCUGGGGAAGCAGACAACUGUACAGGAAUUGGGGUUGGCCAGAUUGAAGUACUCAGCCAACCCACCUCGGUUCACCUUAACUCCUGAUGAGUACCAGUGUUAUAGAUACAAGAAUGGCACAGAGAACUUAGAUGAUUUUAAUGGCUGAAAGGUAAUCGUUAAUGUGACUGACUUAGGUUUGAAAGUACAGGAGAAAAUUCUUAACCUCACAGCACCUAUAACUGAUGUAGGGUGGGCUAGUACCAGCAAAGGACGCAUACAACAGAAAUUACCACAAAGGGUGGUUAGGAACUUGCCCCCUGGGGUUAUUGGUCCAACCAGUUCGAGUUAGUUAUCAGAGGCCAGUUAUAGGUGGCUAAAGUAGGCACAGGAGGAGUUUUGACCAGGAUGGGAGUAGCUUUGUCUAGAUGGAUGCUAUUGGCAUCCUCAGGGAAGUUCCAGAUGAAUACAAAGCUAUGAAUCAAAUAGGUGAAGACUUUACCACAACGUUCUUUUGGUAGUUGACAAUAAAUAAAAAUGUGGAUUGGAUUAAUGACAUCAUUGGGUUAAUGCAACAGAGAUUCAUGAAUGAAACCGGGGAUGUAUGACCAAUUAUCCGCCAUCUGAGAGGUCACCAGUAGAAUAAAGGAGUUAUCAUGGAAGGUGACGUCAGAUUGUGUCUUAAUGCAUGGUAGGAAUAAUUUGACCACAAACAGUGUGUGUAUACCUCAAAGCCCUCCCUAACCGGCUGGAGAAAGAGCGACAAGGGCGUGCAAUACGACAGUGACUUUUAGCACUUCUGAGUCUACACACUUCCAACAGUUUGGACUAAAGUAUGCAUUGAGUUACUGAUCUUUCAUUACCAGGCCACUCAUGACAGGAAAACAAGAACAAAGGGGGCUGUAAUGAGAAUAGUUAUUACUUGUACUAAAAGUUGAUUUUUUAUUUUAUAAAUGUACAUUUUAAUAGGGAUGAUGUGGGCUAAAUUGAGAAGUUUGAAUUUGAGUUAAAGUAAAGACUGUUAUUCUGAAUUUGGGCUGGAUAAUUUAUAAAAUGUUUUAGUUAUGAUUUGGAUAAAGCAAGAGAGAGUUGCUUUUGAACAGGUGAGGGUUAUUGGCACUGUUUAAAUGUAUUAGGCCUAGGGAAGCUCUGGAAACUUUAUCUCUAAAUUGUUAGAACUUACUGGAUGAUAGCUUGGGUUAACAUAAAGGUUUUUGUUUAUUUUGUUUUAUUAUGUCAUUAUAAUUUUAAUGUUACAUUGAAUUGAUGAAUAGAGAUGUCUGGGUGAUAGAAUACAAGUAAUUGCAUAUAAGGUUUAUAGUCUGUGUUUUGUUAUAACACCCAAUGAUGGAGAUGAAGGAGACGGCAUGAAGACCAGCAUAACAUGGACAUAGAACGUAACGGAUGGACGUUUUUCCCCCAGUUUUAGUUGCAUUAAGAGUAGUGGGAGGUUAUUAAACAACUAUUUAUUUGUAUUUUUUCUCUUUUCUUGUUAAGUCAAUGUGUUUUAAAGUGUUGUGGAACAUGAGAGUGAUCAUUGUUCCAGAGGAGGGAUUGAUGUAAAUUGACUUAAUGAUUUGAGAAUGUAUUAGUAUGUUUAUAACUGUAAAAGUGCAUUAGGAGUAGUGACUAGUGUGUUAUGGGUUAGAUGGAAUGAUAUGUAGGUUGAAUAUUCUUCCAACUCAUUAAUCUCUUUCCCAAUUUCUAACAGCCGGCGAACACUUGAUAGAUUACAGACAGUAGUUAUUCUCACGGCAGUUGCCGAAGGGAUCGCAUUUGAAGGAGAUUAUAGGCAUGGACCAUAUUAGUAGUAGCAGCGGUCACUUUAGUAGCAUUGUUGGGAUAUCAGUUUAUGAAGACUCAUGCCAAAUGGAUUGGUAACUGGUAACUGGGAGAUUGAUGGGAGGACAGGGGAUGCGUUUAUUCAAAUAUCACAAAUGAUGUUGUCAGGAAAUAACCCAUGUGUUGCUGUGUGUAUAUCCUCAGGUAAAAACAGAGAUAACCAAUGGCAUGGGCUGACUUCUGGAGAUUGAGUGAACAUCCAGAUACACCAGGAGGGGGUGUUGGGAUAGAUUUGGUCUGGUCCACACAUACGGUACUCCUUACAGCACCUGCAGUGGUAAAGAUUGUCAUGUCUCUCUUCGGUGGGUGCAUAAUUCUCACAAGAAGUAAGGUCCAGCUGCAUAGUGGGUGAUCUUGAAAACACCAUGUAAUGGGUGAGCUUGAAAACACCAUGUAAUGGGUGAGCUUGAAAACACCAUGUAAUGGGUGAGCUUGAAAACACCAUGUAAUGGGUGAGCUUGAAAACACCAUAACAGAGGAAGCGGAGCUAAAGAGAGAGAGAGACUAGAUUCCACUGUAGACAUACAUGCAGAUGGGUUAAGUCUAGGAGCUACUUGCUUUAUUGGUUACUGAAUCAUAUGAAAAAGGAUAGAUGUUAGAGUAAUUGUGCUCUAAACAACAUGUUGAAGGCAUUAACCUGUUAGGGCUAGGGGGCAGCAUUUGCACGUCUGGAUAAAAAAAAUGUACCCGAUUUAAUCUGGUUACUAAUCCUACCCAGUAACUAGAAUAUGCAUAUACUUAUUAUAUAUGGAUAGAAAACACUCUAAAGUUUCUAAAACUGUUUGAAUGGUGUCUGUGAGUAUAACAGAACUCAUUUGGCAGGCAAAACCCUGAGACAUUUUCUGACAGGAAGUGGAUACCUGAUGUGUUGUAUUACCUUUAAACCUAUCCCAUUGAAAAACACAGGGGCUGAGGAAUAUUUUGGCACUUCCUAUUGCUUCCACUAGAUGUCACCAGCCUUUACAAAGUGUUUUGAGUCUUCUGGAGGGAGAUCUGACCGAACAAGAGCCAUGGAACGAUGAUGUCCCAUUAGACACCUGGCGCGCGAGUUCAUGUUGGGUACCCUCGUUCCAAUACGUUAUAAAAGAGUAUGCAUUCGUCCACCUUGAAUAUUAUUCAUGUUCUGGUUAAAAAAGGCCCUAAUGAUUUAUGCUAUACAACGUUUGACAUGUUUGAACGAACGUAAAUAUAUUUUUUUCCCUCGUUCAUGACGAGAAGUCCGGCUGGCUUAGAUCAUGUGCUAACAAGACGGAGAUUUUUGGACAUAAAUGAUGAGCUUUUUUGAACAAAACUACAUUCGUUAUGGACCUGUGAUACCCGGAAGUGACAUCUGAUGAAGAGAAUCAAAGGUAAUGGAUUAUUUACAUAGUAUUUUCGAUUUUAGAUCUCCCCAACAUGACGUCUAGUCUGUAUCGCAACGCGUAUUUUUCUGGGCGCAGUGCUCAGAUUAUUGCAAAGUGUGAUUUCCCAGUAAGGUUAUUUUUAAAUCUGGCAAGUUGAUUGCGUUCAAGAGAUGUAAAUCUAUAAUUCUUUAAAUGACAAUAUAAUAUUUUACCAAUGUUUUCUAAUUUUAAUUAUUUAAUUUGUGACGCUGACUUGACUGCCGGUUAUUGGAGGGAAACGAUUUCCUCAACAUCAAUGCCAUAGUAAAACGCUGUUUUUGGAUAUAAAUAUGAACUUGAUAGAACUAAAAAUGCAUGCAUUGUCUAACAUAAUGUCCUAGGAGUGUCAUCUGAUGGAGAUUGUAAAAGGUUAGUGCAUCAUUUUAGCUGGUUUUAUGGUUUUGGUGACCCUGUCUUUGACUUGACAAAACAUUACACACAACUCUUGUAAAUGUACUGUCCUAACAUACUCUAAAUUUAUGCUUUCGCCGUAAAACCUUUUUGAAAUCGUAAAACGUGGUUAGAUUAAGGAGAUGUUUAUCUUUCAAAUGGUGUAAAAUAGUUGUAUUUUUGAAAAAUUUGAAUUUUGACAUUUAUUUGGAUUCAAAUUUGCCGCUCUUGAAAUGCACCUGCUGUUGAUGGAGUGCACCACGGGUGGCACGCUAGCGUCCCACCUAGCCCAUAGAGGUUAAUGUGAAAGCAUAUGAUGCAGUUACCUCAAGUGGAUGUAACAUUGAUUAGGGAUACUCACUUGCCUAUCAGGUGAUGUGCCUAUUAAGUGGCAAUAAAAAAGUUAAAAUGACAUGGCUUGGGAACACCUCUCAGAACCUGGGGCCGAAAGGGGAAGACUGGGCGAAAGCAUGAGGAAGCUUCUUUAGGGCUUUUAUUUUUGUGGAGUCCAGCAGAAAAGUAUCCUGGUGGCAUAGAGUCAGGUGAAGAGAGAGUGAGAAUUGUCAUGGUCUCAGACUUCGGUUUUCAUGAAUAUACUUAUGCAUAACUUACCACAUUGUUAAUAUUGUUAUGUUUUGUGUUUUUCAUUGCUUUGCAAGUCUUAUGCUAUCACUCUCUUAGGAAUCAGAAGGAGAAAGUGGAGAAACUAAAAGCAGCUCAGCUGAAGUGAAGGAAGUCACCAGCUUCAGCUGGAAUGGCAUUUUGUUGUGUGAUCUGAGAUGGAAAUAAGAUGGUGUAUGGUGUAAUCAUAGAACAGAGGCCAUAAGUCUUUGAGUUUGAAAACCUCAUGGAAACAGCCUGAACCAGGACCAGAGGUUCCACGUCCGGUGAUCCCAGGGGACCAGGACUACAUCCGAGUGUUCCGGAGGAAGUGGAACAAGCCAAGGCGAGAGGGUCCCUAUGGAGUGGUCCUAGCAACCCCAACAGUCAUCCAGGUGAAAGGAAGCAACAUCUGGUACCAUCUAAACCACUGCACCAGAGUCCCGGCAGGGAGAAGGAGGCAACCACCGAGCCAUGAGAAUGCUGAUAAACCAAGAUGUCAAUGAGCCAGGAAGAAGCCGGAUCAAGGAGAGAGGCGGAUCAAGAGAGGCGGAUCAAGGAGCGUAUUCUAACAGCCAACAGAUGCUCUCUCCUGAAUAUCCAGAGAGUCCAGGGAUGGGGAGAAGUGACAUGCCGGUUGCUCCUGAUGACAUACCUACUCUGGCAGAUACCACUGACAGAGGCGCUGUCCGAGGGGACGGAGAAACAACAACAGGAGAAUAGGAAGGAGACUUUCUUACCAUCGACUUCUCUGCCCUCACAUGGUCUUUCUAACAGAGUGAAAACCAUGACAGAUGAAGAAUGGUAGAAUGGCCUUGACAGCAACAGCGACAAACCUAGAAGAAAUUGUAAAAUCACUUCCCACGUGCACUAGUACACUAACUAAGACAAUGGCAAAACCACAAGAAAGUGGGUUGAUGCAGAAAUUCUGGACAUCUGUUAGCAACUGGUGUAGCCACAAUGAAGAAACUACCCCAGAAUCAAACAUUGACCAAAAAUUUAGAACAACAAUAACAAAUGGCUGGCAUAAGUGGGCUCAGUGGGGCCAGCCAAAAAGUAUACACAUAGUCUAAUAAAGUAUAACCAUGUACUCAAUGUAACAGUUGCUGAAUGAUAAAUGAUGUUAGACCUUCUGAAUAUCUUUUCACCUGUCACAUGUAUGUACAUAGGGUUUGUCCUCAAUCUUCUAACAUGUUUUUCUUAUGUUAAAAAUAGUUGUUAGAGAGGUGUCUGUGAGGAAGGGCAAUAUGUUUAGGUAUCAUAUUGAGAAUGACAUAAGGGUUUAGGAUGUUUAGUUUAUUGAUUUUAUUGUUUACUAUUUUUCUUGUAUUCAACUGAGAGCCUGUAAUGGCUGUCAUGAGAGAGAGUAAACCAAGGUGCAGCGGAGUUAGCGUUCAUCAUGAUAGUAUUUAAUUAACAUAAGAACACUAUACAAAAACAAGCUAAACCGACAACCAAACAGUCCUGUCAGGUGCAAAACACAAACAGAAACAAUUACCCACAAAACCCAAAGGAAAAACAUGCUCCUUAUGUGUGACUCCCAAUCAGCAACAACGCUCUACAGCUGUGCCUGAUUGGAAGCCACACGGCCAAAAUCAAUGAAACAAACCAACAUAGAAAAAUGCACAUAGAACGCCCACCCAAUGUAACACCCUGGCCUAACCAAAAUAAAGAACAAAAACCCCUCUCUAUGGCCAGGGCGUUACAGAACCUCAGGUAAGGCUAAGCCUUCCCUGUAGCUCAGUUGGUAGAGCAUGGUGUUUGCAACGCCAGGGUUGUGGGUUCGAUUCCCAUGGGGGGCCAGCACAGAAAACAAUGUAUGAAAUUGUAUGAAAUGUAUGCAUUCACUACUGUAAGUCGCUCUGGAUAAGAGCGUCUGCUAAAUGACUAAAAUGUAAAAAAAAAAAUGUAAAUGUAAGAAAUGCGCAUGCUUUAACACUAUAUCUACAAGGAGAUGUUUGGUCCUAACUCACCAGUGUGAAUGAGAAACUGGAGCUAAGUUUGAUGAAAUGAAUGUGAGGUAGGUUGCCUCAAUGGCAUUACAGAAGGUGCUCCCCUUCCUGGACAUUUUUGUUGUGUGGAACUGUGACAGUUCCAUAGAGAGGAUUAUGUGGGAGGAUUUACCAGUCAUCUGGUAAUUGUCAGUAACUAUUCUGUUCUCUUUGAAGUAGAAUGAAUAAUCGAUAUAAGUUUAAAUAUUAGACACAUGUAAACAGAAUGAAGGCUGAGCCCAUGUGAGUGCACAAAGCUGGAUCAACAUCGAAUUGACCAUUGGACAUGUAAAAAACAUUUUCCACAACACCACUGACUGCUGGACAUCAAGGGUAACCACUUCUUACAUGUCAGUUACAUGUCACUUCAUUGAAGAUUUUUCGAUGUCUAGCAGUCUUCUGGACUGCUUUGAGUUCAGCGACAGACACACCUCAGAGAACUUGGCAGAGGAACUGUUGAGAGUGACCAGAGAAUGGCAAGUAGAUGGAAAAGUGAUCUGUUGUGUUAGCGACAAUGCAGCUAACAUAACCAAAGCCAUGAAAAUGUUAAAAUGGACCCAUCAUCCAUGUCUUUCCCACACAAUCAACCUGAUUGUAAGAGAUGCUCUGAAGGUGAUGAAGCCCACUGUGGACAAAGUGAAAGCAGCUGUGGAAUACUUCCACAGGAGCACAGUAGGUGCUGAAAAACUUAAGUCUACACAACGCCAGAUGGGGAUGCCUGAGCUGAGGCCUAAACAAGACUGCACUACAAGGUGGAAUUCAACAUUUUAUAUGUUGAAGCUGUUUCUUGAGUCAAAGGAUGCCAUCAUCUCUACCCUGGCCAUUGUCAAUGCACCUGUUGAUGCUCUGACCCAAGAGGAAUGGGAGGUGGUGGAGGAGGUGGAGGAGGUGUGCAGAGUCCUGGAACCCUUUGAGCAGGUCACUGUGGAGCUCAGUGGAGAGAGCCUCAAAAAUGAUACUCCUAUGUAAGGGUCUGCAGCAAAUCACAGCCAGCCGCCAGAGAGAAGCAAAUGUAACCACAGGACAUGUGACAGAGUUGUUUGGAAACCCUAUGUUCAUCAAUGGACAGAAAGUUCCACGGAAUGGAAUAUAAUCACUUGCUAUCAGAAACCGCUGCACUAGGUUUAAGAAGUUAGCCUUUAGUGAUGCCAGAGCGAUUGAUGAGGCUCUUCAAAGAAUAACCUCCGCAGCAGGGAGGGACAGCCCCAGCAGUCAGCUGGCUCAGGCACCAGGGCUACAGGAAGCAUUGCUGUGUGUUGCUGGCAAUAAAGAAGAGAGAGAAAAGAGGGACCAGUUUAAUGUUUUAAGUGGGAUGCUGCAGUUUUGCACAUUGUUAUUUAUUUUUCUUUGAUAUGGUGCAAUAUUCUAUUAUGCUGUUCAGAUUGUAUUAAUUUUGAAUGGUUAGAUUUAUAUGCACUUUGUUUAUAUACAUGAAAAAGUUAUACUUUAAAUGCAAAUGUUUAAUAGCAUUCUUUUUAAUAACAAACCAAUACAUUUUUAAAUACAUUGUGGUUAAGGUAGAGUAUGAUUGUAUUAAAUAAUUUAAUUAGAAUUGUUUUGACACCAAUCAUAGUCAAACUAUCGCAAACUGUUUGACUUGAAAAAAAUAAUAUUUAAAGAGCCGUUUGGGAGUCAAAAGAGCCGUCUCUUUUUGGUGAGCUGAGCCGAACGAGCCGGCUCACUGAAAAGAGCCGGAAUGAAAAAAGGAUUACAACAAUGAGAUGUAUCCACCAAUCCAAAGAAAAGACAGGCGGGAGCUAGGCAGCCCGCCACGCCGCUUUGUGGACAAUGACUCCCAUUGUUAGGGCGACGAGACAUGUAUCUUGUCAGUAUACUCAUAAUCUUUGUAAAAUCUCAAUUGCAUACUGUGGUGGAAAUUCAACACCAGGGACACCUGAAGUCAACAUUAAAUGAAUCACUCUUUGUUAUCAGUUAACUGUUGAGGUUACAAAAAACACACAUACAAAGUACAAGUCUGCCACAAGCUCCGACAGGGUGGUCCCUUCAGUCCUCUUAUAUACUGCUACACAAAAACGCUACAUAGGCAUGGUUCAUAGGGUUGGUUCCUGCAGGUGGCUCGUGGUAAUGGUGGAGUGGAAUAGGUGGAAUGUUAUCAAAUACAUCAAACACAUGGUUUAUAUGUGUUUGAUGCCCUUCCAUUCGCUCCAUUCCAACCAUUAAUAUGAGCCGUCCUCACCUCAGCAGCCUCCACUGGAGUAUGGAUAUAGAUUCUCCCUAUGUAAAUUCAAAUGGCAAAGGCCCCUUUUCAGUACACUACACACUGACGUCACCCACAGAUGCUCGCGGCUUUUGACUGCAGUAUUUUGUAGAUGUGCAAACAGCGAUUUGCAAACAAGGAGAGAGAGAGAGCUCUGGGAGGUGGGACCUGUAUCUUCUAACCAAUUAGAUUAGGUUUUCAUAGACCAGCGUACUCUACACUGGUUGGUUGGUGACAGCUCACAUGGGUCGUGUUGUGUGGCACAACCACCUGUCAAAUCACCACAUGCUUUACCAGUUUACCGCUGAGACUGAUUGUCAAUGUCCACCAAUGAAUCCCAGCUGUUAGCUGUCAUGGCAGGUACAUUUAAACUAAAAUUAUGGAUAUACUGAGAAGACACGUGUCCCUGUCUCUCCACCCUAACAAUGGGAGUCGUUGUCCACAAAGCGGCACGGCAGGCUGUCUAGCUCCCGCCUAUCAUUUCUUUGGAUUGGUGGAUACAACUCAUUAUUGUAAUCCUUUUUUGAAUAUUCAAUGAGGGUUGUUGAUGUCAACCGCCAGUAUUCAAUGCUAUGCUAUUAGCCUCAUGCCAUGUAUAUGCAUAGGCAUCUCAACACAAGUCCGAUAUAAAGUGUUUUUUCUCAAAGUUGUCGGGAUGUCAUGUGUCAGUACACUCAUAACAACUUAAUGAAACAUUUAUUAGAUCAAAUAAAACUCACGAGGUAAAUAAUCCAUUAAUUUUUUGGGGGACCAAAUUUGACACUCAUUGGGCCUCUUCCGCUUCUUCUCUGGUUUAAAAGGUGCACGGUGCAGAAAUCGCUCCGCCAUUGUGAACUGUAU